GCCACCUAGAACUCGAAAAAGUGAGCUCUUACCACUACCAUUUGGACCUGUAAUUAACAGAUUAGAUCCUGAUUCAACCUUAAGAGUCAGAUCUUCCACCAAAACAUUACCAGUUGGGGUGACAACCUUGACNNACUCAACAUAAUCAGCUUCACUAAAGUAAUUCCUACUUCCACUUCUUUGCAGAGAAGUUUUAUCAUCGCAGUUUAGCUCUCUUGAUAUUACUAUUAACUCAUGAAUGCGAUCAGCA
rnacentral:misc_RNA from 1 species